UACAGAGGUGGCAAGCGUUGUUCGGAAUUACUGGGCGUAAAGGGCGCGUAGGCGGUCCCGUCAGUCCCUUGUGAAAUCCCCCGGCUCAACUGGGGAACUGCAAGGGAUACAGCGGGGCUUGAGUUCGGGAGAGGGAAGCGGAAUUCCGGGUGUAGCGGUGAAAUGCGUAGAUAUCCGGAGGAACACCGGUGGCGAAGGCGGCUUCCUGGACCGAUACUGACGCUGAGGCGCGAAAGCUAGGGGAGCAAACGGGAUUAGAUACCCUGUAGUCC
rnacentral:rRNA from 1 species